AUGUUGCCAGCACGUUAUGGUGGGACGUCGUGGGACGUGCCGGGUUAACGUCGGAGGAAGGUGGGAUGACGUCAAAUCAUCAUGCCCUUAUGUCUUGGGCUUCACGCAUGCUACAAUGGCUGGUACAGAGGUAGCCAACCGCGAGGCGAGCUAAUCCGUAAACCUGCCUCAGUUCAGAUUGCAGGCUGCAACUCGCCUGCAUGAAGCGGAAUCGCUAGUAAUCGCAGGUCAGCAUACUGCGGUGAAUCCGUUCCAGUCGUGGAGG
rnacentral:rRNA from 1 species